rnacentral:tRNA from 1 species
GGGGUCGUGGCUCAGCGGUAGAGCACUCACCUGGCACGUGUGAGGCCCUGGGUUCGAUUCUCAGCACCCCA